rnacentral:rRNA from 1 species
CUAGUAGACGGCAAAGCAAGUCAGAUGUGAAAUCUUAGGGCUCAACCUUAAGACUGCAUCUGAAACUGUUUAGCUAGAGUACAGAAGAGGUAAGUGGAAUUCCUAGUGUAGCGGUGAAAUGCGUAGAUAUUAGGAGGAACACCAGUGGCGAAGGCGACUUACUGGGCUGUAACUGACGUAGAGGAGCGAAAGUGUGGGGAGCAAACA